rnacentral:rRNA from 1 species
ACGGAAGGCAGCAGUGGGGACUAUUGGGCAAUGGGCGCAAGCCUGACCCAGCAACGCCGCGUGAAGGAAGAAGGCUUUCGGGUUGUAAACUUCUUUUGUCGGGGAAGAGUAGAAGACGGUACCUGACGAAUAAGCCACGGCUAACUACGUGCCAGCAGCCGCGGUAAUACGUAGGUGGCAAGCGUUGUCCGGAUUUACUGGGUGUAAAGGGCGUGCAGCCGGGUCUGCAAGUCAGAUGUGAAAUCCAUGGGCUCAACCCAUGAACUGCAUUUGAAACUGUAGAUCUUGAGUGCUGGAGAGGUAAUCGGAAUUCCUAGUGUAGCGGUGAAAUGCGUAGAUAUUAGGAAGAACACCAGUGGCGAAGGCGGAUUACUGGACAGUAACUGACGGUGAGGAGCGAAAGCGUGGGGAGCAAACAG